CUGUGCAUGCAGCUCCAAACCCGACUGCAGCUCCCUGCCUCUUACGUGCAGGACAGGGCUACUCUCACCCGCGCUUUCCCAGCAAGGGGAAAAAUCCCUGCUCUGUGCAAGGCACUGCAAUUCCCUCUCCCCCCUUCGGGACGUGAUGCUGACAAGCCCCUCCGUUUCCAAGAAGCCGAGAGGAAUACUGAGGCUGUGAGCCCGCUAUCCUGGAGCAUUGCUGCAGCAAGAUUACAAUUGCCUUUUAAAAAAAAAUGAAGAUGCUUGAACGCCUCCUGCCAAGAGUACAGAACAAAUCUCAGUGGCAAUGGCAUUGCUAAAACUUGAUCAUGGGGGAUUUUAAGCGAUAAAGAGCUGCUGGGCUUGUCUUUACUGCAGUGGGAAGAAGUUGCAGGAUGAAAUCAAGGGAUUAAGAGGUCUAUUUUCUACUUCGUUGUUUGCAAAGGAAUCUACUGAAAUGACUUGGAGGAUCUUAAGACUGGAACUAUGUGGAGGGAGAAUGCAAGCUAAUAAAUGAGAAAUCAAAGCAAGCACCGCUUUUCCUGGAGUAAUUGCUUCGUCUGUAUCUCGCCCAGUUUGUUUACCGUAAAUGAAGACCCAGGCUGCUCCUCUACGAGAUCAAAAAAGAGCGAUUUCCCUUACUGAUAGAGCUGUUUUCUAGAUUAUGCUUGUUUUGAACCUGUCACGAAAACUCGUGCCCUUGAUCAUCUGAAUUAGUUUUGCUCCCAGCUAUUCAUUCCAGGUCGGCUGCCUCAUCCCCUUCUAGCUCAAAACCAUGCAUUGCCAUGGGAAGCAACCACACUGUUACUAGCACAGUAUUUUUUUUCCCAACCUGCCUGGGUAGGAGGGAGAGGAUUUUCAGGGAAGCUGGCCACACUCUGACUUGUGGUAGCGAAGAUCUGGAAUUCAUUUUUCCAUAAAAUGAAACACCAACUUUAUUGGCGUGACACCUCCGGUUUACAUGGCUCGUCCACCAGGGUUUUGGGUUCAAUCCCACCUUCGGUCCGACUAAUGGUUGACAUCCAUCUUUUCUCCCCAGUUCCUGCAACCCCUUAACCCUUCUCCUUCCCUUCAUUUUGCAGACCCCCUUUCCAUAUCCUCCUGCUCGCAUAGCUGCCUCCCUUGGAUGCGAUGAGGACUGCAAGCUGCAGCCAGCAUCAUGCGUUUGGAAAGAAGGAUGGCGGCACCCUCUAACCCUUGGAGCUGAGGACUGCGAGAUGCCAAAGUUUGCAACAUGCCAAAUAGCAGCAACUACGUCUUCUGACAUUUCUGGGGAUAAACCUGGCAAAGAUGGGGAAAAUUGGCUAUGCUCUCCUGGUACUCCAAGCUCUACUGGUGCAGUUGGAUCUUGUUCGCGGAGCAGAGAAAAGUUAUCCCAUCCUGAACAUUGCAGUGAUUCUGGGAAGGACGAAGUAUAUCACGGAGAGAGACAUCCGAGCUCUCUGGACCAGGGAAAUGUCAGCAGACCUGGCCAUUGAUGUCAAUGUAGUGACCCUUCUGGUGAACCAGACUGACCCUAAAAGCAUUAUAACACAUGUUUGUGACUUGAUGUCAGGCACCAAGAUCCAUGGGGUGGUUUUUGGAGAUGAUACUGAUCAGGAGGCGAUAGCCCAGAUUUUGGAUUUUAUUUCAUCUCAGACCUUUAUUCCGAUUCUCGGAAUUCAUGGUGGGUCCUCCAUGAUAAUGGCAGACAAGGUAGGAAAAGUUGUUGUUUUGAAGCUUUUGUUGCAUUAACAUAAUGUCGCUGCAUAUUACCUACAUUACAUGUGCACUGCAAACAGUUCAAAGGAAGAUGCCUCUAAUGGCUUUUAUUGUGCUGUUUCAAAGCAAAAACUAUAUGGAGCAGCUUCCUACUGAAUUAUUGUAUAUUCUAAAAGAUUUCUCUGCAACGUGUCAAUAACAUUUAUGUUUUUCCAGAAUGAAAGUUAUUUUUGGUGAAUAUUGCUUUACUGCCAAAUUGAAUUUUCAUCAGCCUAGAGGUACUGCAUGUGAUUUGCACGUAAGAUUAUAUGACAAUUAGCUUUUUAAGACUACUUAUAACAGUAAAAUAUUUUGCCCCACUUUGCAUCAUGAAGAAAAAUGUUGAAUGUUGUUAGCACACUUCAGAAACAAGUGCAGCACUUCAGGAGAUCACAUGUAUUGCACUUGAAUGAAUUUGAGUAGUAGGACUUAGAGGUUUUUUAAGAGCACAGACAUUUAGGUUAGACUUGAUUUUUCUGUUUGUAGCCUAGUGUUGGGUGACGGCAGUCUUGCAUACUAAACAGAUACUUAUUUUUGUUAUAACUAUUUGGUGAGAAACCAUAUGUUACUGUUAAAUCCCCAUAAAGUCAGCAUGAAGUUAAGAUGUACAGUUGGCUUGUGUAUAAAUUCUAGAUAUAAUAUGAUAUGAUGUUUGUGAGGAAAAUAGUUUUUCUGCAUAAUCCACAAUUGAACGGCAGACAAAAAUCUGAUAAUUACAUGCAGCACACCUGCUUGCAGCAUUUUUAAUUUUUUUGAAACUUUGAGGACACUUGUAGGCAAAGUCCUACAGAGUACUCAGUGCUCCACCUUGGCACUUUGCAUGAUUAAGCCCUCUGCCACAGCCACCUUCUUUUCAGAAUGAUGGGUAAAAAUUCCUUGUUGACGUGGAAGAGCUCUUAAAGAACCUUGUUUGUCACUUUAUGUAUAGAAGCGAGAAUAAUUCAACAAGGCAUUUACUGACUGGAGAGUCACUUAGCUUUUCAGAGACGUAUUAUCUUUCAGCACAUCAAGUCCUAAAACUUUUUAUCAAAGCACAAAUAUUACCCAAAAAUGAGGAAUCAUUAUUAUUCCAUCAUGGAUGACUUUUCUGUAUUAAAAUAGGGGUUAUAUCCUAUUGGGUAUUCAAGAAUUCUUGUUACAAUUGAAAAAUAGAAGGAGAGAUGACAUAAUUUAUUGGUUAUGACAAAUGAAUUAGGAAUGCUUCUGCACUUUGAAUCAUCCCCAUUUCCAUCUUUUAUUAACAGGGACUAAGGGCAUUCUUCACUAUUUAUCAUCUAGUUAAACUAAAGGUGUCAUUUCAAUCUCAGUGUUUUGAAUGACCUUUCUAGUCACAACUGAUGCUCUCACAUAAUGGUCCAGCUAAUAAAUGCUGAAUUAUAGUGGAUGUUCUAUAAAAGGCCUGACAUCCUAAUUGAUACAUCGAGUUCAUCAUGAUAGAUGUUAGCACCUUAAAUAAAAAAGAGAGAUGUGAUGACUAGGUCACAGUUACUAAUGCAUACUUUAAAGUUAUUUAUGUGGGUAUGGAGUCUUUAUAAAAUGCACAUAAUUUUCAGUACUUCUGCACAUGUUGUUGCAUAUGUUAACCCACAUGACCACACACACAUGAACUUAAAAACUAUCAGCCUCUCCAAGUUCAUUAAAAAAUAGAUAUGGGGAUGGAAAAAACUCCCUAGUCCUCCAGUGGCUGAUUCAGGAUUGUGAUGACUUAAAUAUACUUUACUUGUAAGUAGCAGUACCUAGAAUACAAAAUAGGUGUUUCUCUUUGGUUUAGUAAUUUCCAAUCUUUCAUUUUUGUAUUUUAGUAGUAAUUAAUGUGUCUGUGCUUCUGUUCCCAUGGUUAAAAUGUUUGCUUACUGUUGCACCCUGUUUUCUUGGUUUGUAAGGUUUCCGCUCAGGAGCAGAAAUAUUCUGUCCAUCUUUUUUUGGAGAAAAUGGUAGAACUGUCCUAAAGGAGCUCAGCUGAAUAGAAUCUUUGUACAAGUAAAAAAAAGACCUGACUCUAAAAUUGAUUUUUGCUAUGUACAGAAUCUGUUCCAAAGCUCCACUUGGUUGGUAAUGAGAUUUCCAUAUGUAAUUCACUUAACCCUUUGGGGAAUUAAUUUCUGUAAGUUGCAAGUGAAAUUCACUGCUCUGUCUUAAAUUUCAAGUAGGUGAACUGUGACAUGACUGCAUCUGUGAAAUCUAUUCCCCAUCCUAAUACUCCUUGGCUGUUACUUCAUCUUCUGGAUUUGUUUGUAUCCAGAGCUUGUGCUCUUAUGUCCUGGAAUAGCUGAAGUCAAUCCAAAAAAAAAAAAAAAUCAAAGGUCUGCCCUAACUGAAUGACCCAUCAAGCUAGUGUCAUUACUCUCAUUAAUCACACAUUGAAAUGAUGUAAUUAGCAUCACGUUUAGCUACUGUUAAUAUCCUAGCCUAAAUGUCCAGGUCUCCAUUUAGAAUUGGUUUGCCUUGUGGCAGUCUUGGCCUGAGUCCGGAACAAGACCCAAACUCAUUGUAAUGAAGCCAUAGCAAGACGCAUCAACUGCUCGGUUCAUGGUUUGCCUCUAAGAUUGUGGUCUUAUUGCUAUUGUCUGUAUCAGUUUGGACUGGGUCAUCAUAUAAUUGUUUUCAUGGUGCACGUUGCACCCCCAGUUAUUAUGCUAUAUAUGACUUCUGCUCUGAGAUGACUGCUUAUUCUUAGCUGUCAGGUGCUUUUGCCAAGUUACCCAGUAAACCACCAUGACACAAAAGGAGCAUCAGUUGUUCAGCAAUUCCUGUAUGAAAUAGUGUUUACUUUGAAUGUUGUAAGUAUAUUAGUUAGACAGACUUUGGAACAGCAAACAUCUUCUUUUGGUAAUGACUGGCUCCUUUAUGCUUCUAUAGAUGAUUUGCAUGGGUAAGGAUCACUUGCAAAAUUCUUCCAUGUUUUAUAUUACUGAUGUAAACUAUUGAUCAUUACUUUCUUCCACAUGAACAAAUGUUCAAAUGUGUGCUGCUCAGCCUCUGUCCUAUCAAUUUACCUAACUUUUGCCUCAAAUACACACUGCACAACAGCAAUCUGUCUUGUGUCUUUUAAAGCACUGAGCCCAGCAUGGAUGUCAUCUAUUGUGCAGUAUUUGCAGUGCUGUAAAUACAUAGAGAACUAGAACCUAAAGGCUGCAUAGUUUGGGGCUUGUUUUCUAUUACUCGUUUGGUGAAUGUCAUGUCCCACUGCAGUGGUCUAGUUGACAUCUUCAUCAUGCUACGGCAAUUAUCAGAAUAGCAUUGAAGCUACCUGUGUGAUAGCCAGACCUAGCUAACAUUCUUCCAUAUAACAUCAGGUGUCAGAAUUUAGGUCAACAAACUGACCACCAAGGUACAGUAGACACCACCCUUUCCACUGCACAAGGAUAUAUAGUAUCUAUCUCAUUGCCAGAUGUACAGUAGAAGGCUUAUUUGGACAGUCCUAUGCACUCCCCAUUCAGCUGACAACAGUGGGUGCAUGAUUAGGCAUUUAGAUCAACUUAACCCUGGUCAGCUCAUUGCUGUCUCUACCAGGAUCUCAAUGUCAUCUCCAGGCUGGUUCUGGGCUCCUAUGCUGCCCCUAACAGCUAGCUUAAAAGGUUCCAGUAAGGUGGGAUCCACUGUGCCAAGACAGAUGCUAAGGCAUGGCUGGGGCAUCCAGGACAGCCAGCUGUAUACCAGUGGUGCUGUGGACCCUGGAGAGCACAUGCUGGAUGACUGUUUUUCUUGUAUUGGACUCUCUGGAGACCUCAAGUUGAAUCUCAGACUCGGGCAAAUUACUGACUCAAAACUGUUGAGCUGUUUGUUUGUUUGUUUGCUUGCUUUGAAUCUUUUAAAUCUUAUUUUGCCCACAUGUAAUUGCUACAUAGUAUUUAUAACAACUUUCUGAAAUAAAAUACCAUGGUCACA